rnacentral:rRNA from 1 species
CAGGCCUAACACAUGCAAGUCGAACGGUGGCAGCAAUGUCAUAGUGGCGCACGGGUGCGUAACACGUAACUAACCUACCCAGCACUGGGGGAUAGCCCGCCGAAAGGCGGAUUAAUACCGCAUAAGACAAUAGAGCGGCAUCGCUUAGUUGUUAAAGAUUUAUUGGUGUUGGAUGGGGUUGCGGGUCAUUAGCUAGUUGGUGUGGUAAAGGCGCACCAAGGCGACGAUCCUUAGCUGGUAUGAGAGGAUGAUCAGCCACACUGGGACUGAGACACGGCCCAGACUCCUACGGGAGGCAGCAGUGGGGAAUAUUGGACAAUGGGCGAAAGCCUGAUCCAGCAAUGCCGCGUGAGUGAUGAAGGCCUUAGGGUUGUAAAGCGAUUUGACCCGGGAUGAUAAUGACAUGACCGGGAGAAGAAGCUCCGGCUAACUCCGUGCCAGCAGCCGCGGGAAGAAUCGAAU